rnacentral:misc_RNA from 1 species
UUUCCGUAGGUGAACCUGCGGAGGGAUCAUUAUUGUAUAACCGAAGUGCGAGAGCUGUCGCUAACCCGCUAUGUCGUUCACGCGGGACUUCCCGCGGCCCCACCCAUCUCACCCCUCUGUGCACCACCGCGCGCCUCCCCAUUUAACUUUUUUGGUGGGGGGUUUCCGUUUUCGCGCAAAAUCUGUAAGAAACGAAGAAUGCAUUUUUUGUUUUUGCGAUCACGCAAUCAAUACAAAUUUCAACAACGGAGAUCUUGACUCUCGCAUCGUUCAAGAACC